rnacentral:rRNA from 1 species
CCUAUCAGAGGGGAAUAACCCGGCGAAAGUCGGACUAAUACCGCAUAAAACAGGGGCACCGCAUGGUGAUAUUUGUUAAAGAAAUUCGCUGGAUAGAUGGGCAUGCGUUCCAGUUAGGUAGUUGGUGAGGUAACGGCUCACCAAGCCGACGAUGGAUAGGGAACUGAGAGGUUGGUCCCCCCACACUGGUACUGAGACACGGACCAGACUCCGUACGGGAGGCAGCAGUGAGGAAUAUUGGUCAAGUGGGCGGGGGCCUGAACCAGCCAAGUCGCGUGAAAAGGAAGAAGGAUCUAUGGUUCGUAAACUUCUUUUGCAGGGGAAUAAAGUGCAGGACGUGUCCUGUUUUGUAUGUACCCUGAGAAUAAGGAUCGGCUAACUCCGUGCCAGCCGCAGC